AGAGGUGGCGAGCGUUACUCGGAUUAAUUGGGUGUAAAGGGCAAGUAGGCGUCUUGACAAGUUAGGAGUGAAAUUCCUGCAGCUCAACUGCAGAACUGCUUUUAAAACUGUCAAGAUUGAGACUGGGAGAGGAAAGCGGAAUUCUCGGUGUAAGAGUGAAAUCUGUAGAUAUCGAGAGGAACACCAGUGGCGAAGGCGGCUUUCUGGUCCAGUACUGACGCUGAAUUGCGAAAGCUAGGGGAGCAAACAGGAUUAGAUACCCUGGUAGUCCUAGCCGUAAACGAUGAGCACUAGGUGUUGGGGGUUUACCCUUAGCGCCGUAAGUUAACACGUUAAGUGCUCCACC
rnacentral:rRNA from 1 species